GGCCUGAUAGCUCAGUUGGAUAGAGCAACAGCCUUCUAAGCUGUGGGUCUUGGGUUCGAAUCCCAAUCAGGUCA
rnacentral:tRNA from 1 species